GACGAACGCUGGCGGCGUGCUUAACACAUGCAAGUCGAACGGAAAGGCCCUGCUUUUGUGGGGUGCUCGAGUGGCGAACGGGUGAGUAACACGUGAGUAAUCUGCCCUUGACUUUGGGAUAACUUCAGGAAACUGGGGCUAAUACCGGAUAGGAGCUCCUGCUGCAUGGUGGGGGUUGGAAAGUUUCGGCGGUUGGGGAUGGACUCGCGGCUUAUCAGCUUGUUGGUGGGGUAGUGGCUUACCAAGGCUUUGACGGGUAGCCGGCCUGAGAGGGUGACCGGCCACAUUGGGACUGAGAUACGGCCCAGACUCCUACGGGAGGCAGCAGUGGGGAAUAUUGCACAAUGGGCGGAAGCCUGAUGCAGCAACGCCGCGUGCGGGAUGACGGCCUUCGGGUUGUAAACCGCCUUCGCCUGUGACGAAGCGUGAGUGACGGUAAUGGGUAAAGAAGCACCGGCUAACUACGUG
rnacentral:rRNA from 1 species